UGCCAGACAACGGAUAUUCGACUUGUCAUCGUUAUCCUAAUCGAAUACGUUGGACAUCACUCGACUAUCAGAUUCUACAGAAUAAUCGUGUCAACGAACUACGUUUGGAGAUUGGCCGACACCCGGCCCAACGUGCACGCCCGACCAAGGUUCGGACGAUGGACGCUCGACCUACUGUCGGAACGGCUCUCGACCAUCAGAUCCUACACUAUCUGUAUGACAGUCGAGACGCCGGCAUGC
rnacentral:lncRNA from 1 species